GGGGGCCCGAUGACCGUUCUUCAUGUUGUUCGUUAGGGGUACAAUAUGGUUGUAGGCUGGUUAGCGUCAUAGGUUUAUUGUCGGAGAGGGUCAUGGUUAUGCGAGUCCCCAAGUCAUACUGGUGCUGCAUAAGUGGUUUAUAAAAAAAAAAAAUAA